UGGCCCUUACCCAACAGCUUAAGCUUUUGGGAUCAAGUGGUUGUCUGACAGAUUACAAAAUUGGAGAGCUGGCUGGAAAAAGUGGUGAGCAUUCUCCCUCUUCCUGUUCAAAUUACCUCUUUGAUGCCUAAAUAGCUGUUAUUUCGUACUGCAUAAUUCAUGAAGGCUCAUCCGUGUUGAUUACUAAGGAUAGAUAGCUCGGGGUUGUCACUUGCAUCUCUUUGGCAGCAAAAGUUGAAGAAACUCAAGUGCCACUUCGCUUAGACCUUCAAGUAAGUUAAAGACAAAACAUUGUUCCCUUCUCUGAGACAUUCACAGUGCUUUUUCUCAUCUCAUGUAUCUAGUUAUGAUGAUGAGUUUUUCAUUAGUUGUGUGUUUAAUUUCCAUUUAUGAUUUUCAGGGUUGGUGAGAUACCUUGCCAAGUAUGUGGAUCCAGGGACAGAG
rnacentral:lncRNA from 1 species